GUGGACGCCAGUCUGCGUGGAGCCGACCUUGAAAUACCACCCUUUAAUGUUUGAUGUUCUAACGUGGACCCGUGAUCCGGGUUGCGGACAGUGUCUGGUGGGUAGUUUGACUGGGGCGGUCUCCUCCUAAAGAGUAACGGAGGAGCACGAAGGUUGGCUAAUCCUGGUCGGACAUCAGGAGGUUAGUGCAAUGGCAUAAGCCAGCUUGACUGCGAGCGUGACGGCGCGAGCAGGUGCGAAAGCAGGUCAUAGUGAUCCGGUGGUUCUGAAUGGAAGGGCCAUCGCUCAACGGAUAAAAGGUACUCCGGGGAUAACAGGCUGAUACCGCCCAAGAGUUCAUAUCGACGGCGGUGUUUGGCACCUCGAUGUCGGCUCAUCACAUCCUGGGGCUGAAGUAGGUCCCAAGGGUAUGGCUGUUCGCCAUUUAAAGUGGUACGCGAGCUGGGUUUAGAACGUCGUGAGACAGUUCGGUCCCUAUCUGCCGUGGGCGCUGGAGAACUGAGGGGGGCUGCUCCUAGUACGAGAGGACCGGAGUGGACGCAUCACUGGUGUUCGGGUUGUCAUGCCAAUGGCACUGCCCGGUAGCUAAAUGCGGAAGAGAUAAGUGCUGAAAGCAUCUAAGCACGAAACUUGCCCCGAGAUGAGUUCUCCCUGAGACUUAGAGUCUCCUGAAGGAACGUUGAAGACGACGACGUUGAUAGGCCGGGUGUGUAAGCGCAGCGAUGCGUUGAGCUAACCGGUACUAAUGAACCGUGAGGCUUAACCUUACAACGCCGAAG
rnacentral:rRNA from 3 species